rnacentral:rRNA from 1 species
AGCAGCCGCGGUAAUUCCAGCUCCAAUAGCGUAUAUUAAAGUUGUUGCAGUUAAAAAGCUCGUAGUUGAAUUUCGGGGUUAGUAGGUUGGUCAUGCCUCUGGUAUGUACUGGUCUCACUGAUUCCUCCUUCCUGAUGAACCUUAAUGCCAUUAAUUUGGUGUUUUGGGGAAUUUGGACUGUUACUUUGAAAAAAUUAGAGUGUUUAAAGCAAGCUAACGCUUGAAUACAUUAGCAUGGAAUAAUGAAAUAGGACGUUCGAUCCUAUUUUGUUGGUUUCUAGGAUUGACGUAAUGAUUAAUAGGGAUAGUUGGGGGCAUUAGUAUUCAAUUGUCAGAGGUGAAAUUCUUGGAUUUAUUGAAGACUAACUACUGCGAAAGCAUUUGCCAAGGAUGUUUUCAUUAAUCAAGAACGAAAGUUAGGGGAUCGAAGACGAUCAGAUACCGUCGUGGUCUUAACCAUAAACUAUGCCGACUAGGGAUCGGAUGAUGUUAAUUUUUUAAUGACUCAUUCGGCGCCUUA